rnacentral:rRNA from 1 species
GAUGAACGCUGGCGGCGUGCUUAACACAUGCAAGUCGAACGAUGAUCCGGUGCUUGCACCGGGGAUUAGUGGCGAACGGGUGAGUAACACGUGAGUAACCUGCCCUUGACUCUGGGAUAAGCCUGGGAAACUGGGUCUAAUACCGGAUAUGACUCCUCAUCGCAUGGUGGGGGGUGGAAAGCUUUUGCGGUUUUGGAUGGACUCGCGGCCUAUCAGCUUGUUGGUGAGGUAAUGGCUUACCAAGGCGACGACGGGUAGCCGGCCUGAGAGGGUGACCGGCCACACUGGGACUGAGACACGGCCCAGACUCCUACGGGAGGCAGCAGUGGGGAAUAUUGCACAAUGGGCGCAAGCCUGAUGCAGCGACGCCGCGUGAGGGAUGACGGCCUUCGGGUUGUAAACCUCUUUCAGUAGGGAAGAAGCGAAAGUGACGGUACCUGCAGAAGAAGCACCGGCUAACUACGUGCCAGCCGCCGCAGUAAGAC